GGAUGUGUGGGCCAUCCUGGCUGCGACACUCGUCCACUGCAUUGAUCACCAGGGUGAUUCAGCUGAUCUGGCUGGCUAGGCAGGUGUCCCCUUCUUCCCUCACCGCUCUAUGUGUGUCCCUCCCAAAACUGCACACUUGGUUGUAGAGGACUACCUUCCCUGAAUAGAGACAGAUUGGUCUGGUCUUGGGUCUGCGGAGGAUAUAAAGUAUCUGAACUCUACUGCAAGAACCUCCAAACAAGCUCUCAAAGACCCCAAGCCUGGAUCAUGCACAAGGCAAAGCAGACAACUCUCCAAUAGAGUUAUUUUGCUGUUCUCAUUUGGAGUUCUUUUGCGCAAAU
ensembl:misc_RNA 7SK 7SK RNA